rnacentral:sRNA from 1 species
CCCUAGCCCAGAUGGUAGCGGCAUCCUUUUUGUUUUAUUGACUUUUCUUUUAAAACGAAAUAAAAAAAUAUUUUUUUUAAAUUUUGAAAAACAAAAAGAUAUAGCGAACAGCUGGAGAAGCU